rnacentral:rRNA from 1 species
CGCGUAGGCGGUUAUUUAAGUUGACUGUGAAAUACCAGUGCUCAACAUUGGGGGGUCAGUCAAAACUGGAUGACUUGAGAGCAGUAGAGGGAAGCGGAAUUCCUGGUGUAGCGGUGAAAUGCGUAGAGAUCAGGAGGAACACCGGUGGCGAAGGCGGCUUUCUGGGCUGCAACUGACGCUGAGGCGCGAAAGCGUGGGGAGCAAACA